AUUGAACGCUGGCGGCAUGCCUUACACAUGCAAGUCGAACGGUAACAGGUCUUCGGAUGCUGACGAGUGGCGAACGGGUGAGUAAUACAUCGGAACGUGCCCGAGAGUGGGGGAUAACGAGGCGAAAGCUUUGCUAAUACCGCAUACGAUCUCAGGAUGAAAGCAGGGACCGCAAGGUCUUUCGCUCACGGAGCGGCCGAUGGCAGAUUAGGUAGUUGGUGGGAUAAAAGCUUACCAAGCCGACGAUCUGUAGCUGGUCUGAGAGGACGACCAGCCACACUGGGAGUUAGACACGGCGCGGACUCCUACGGGAGGCAGCAGUGGGGAAUGUUGGACAAUGGGCGCAAGCCUGAUCCAGCCAUGCCGCGUGCAGGAUGAAGGCCUUCGGGUUGUAAACUGCUUUUGUACGGAACGAAAAGACUCUGGUUAAUACCUGGGGUCCAUGACGGUACCGUAAGAAUAAGCACCGGCUAACUACGUGCCAGCCGCCGCUGUAACAC
rnacentral:rRNA from 1 species